CGCUACUUUUCCUUAAAAAAAAAGGCGAGGCGCUACCGAGGGAGGAAACAGGGAAGCGAAGGCGGCGGCGCGGGCGACGAGUGGAGACGACGACUGCCGGCUGCCGCCUUCUCUCCGACUUCCGGUUCUUGAAAAGGCUUAUUCUUGUCCAUGGACGAUACUCGCACAACCGUACUGCCUUCCUUUCGCAGUAUUCAUUCUACAAGUCAUUGUCAAUUUGCUUUAUUCAGAUACUCUUAAGUCACAAACAAAGUCACAAGUCCUUAUUUCACCUUCAGAUCUUAUAUGUAAUAUCUUUCUCAUAUUUCAUUUAAGCAUACUGGAUACUAGUUGCUCUUGUCAGCAUUCUCAUAUUGUAUGCAUGCAGUUUUUCUUUUGUUUCAGUUAUUGCCGAACAAGUUUAUUCAAUUCAGUUAGUUGGAUGGCUUAUAAUGUCUUCUAUGCAAGCAUUCCUGUUCUAACUACUGCUCUGGACAAGGAUUUAUCUGAAAAGACAGUGGCACAGAACCCAGAAAUUUUACUUUACUGCCAGGCUGGAAGGCUUUUAAUCCAAGUACUUUUGCUGGUUGGUUUGGUCGAUCAUUAUAUCAUUCCUUUCACUUUUCUGCAGUUUCUGGCUAUAUGGGGAAACUUUGCUGCUUUCUACUACAUCAUAAAUUUCUGUAUCAGCAGUUCAGCACCAUACCAACUGCUGGGAUGUACACUAUCAUGUACCGCCUUUGUAGACAGCCGCCAUACUGGAUAACAAUGCUGGUAACUGCUAAUCAGUGGAGUUGGCAUGGGUCCUGUAAUAGCUCUGAGAUAUUUCAGAUGUACAUACAGUCCUAGUGCUAUUAACACUCUUCAGAAGGCCGAGCGAUCACGUGGCCAAUGUAAUCUGGAAUCUCAACUGAGAUCAGUGAACGAUAAUUCGACCAGCUAUCGAGCGACGAUGGUCAAGAAUAAUAUCUCAGUUCAUGAGCCCCUAUGGCAUCCAGGAGAUCACUAGCAUCGUCAACAUUUGACAUCUUUCAGCCAGCUCAGUCAAGGGUUCCUGCUGCAGUGCUGCUUAUCCCAGAAAUAUUAAAACCAGUUAACCUUUGGUAGUCAUUGUAGCACAGGUUAUACCCUCAACAAAGGAAAAAAAUGGAAUGACAAAUAAUAGAGGUCUGUUGAAUUAAAUGUGUUGUAUAGCCAGUAGAAAAAAAAGUUGUAUUAUACAGUGCCAUUAUCAGGAUCAUUGUUUUUAAGGCGGCAAGGCGACCUAAGGCGAGCACCACCCGCCUUAGCGCCUAGGCUACGAAAAAGCAAGCCUACUUACUA